rnacentral:rRNA from 1 species
CCUACGGGAGGCAGCAGUGAGGAAUAUUGGUCAAUGGGCGCGAGCCUGAACCAGCCAAGUCGCGUGAAGGAUGACUGCUCUAUGGUUUGUAAACUUCUUUUAUAUGGGAAUAAAGUGAGGAACGUGUUCCUUUUUGUAUGUACUUUAUGAAUAAGCAUCGGCUAACUCCGUGCCAGCAGCCGCGGUAAUACGGAGGAUGCGAGCGUUAUCCGGAUUUAUUGGGUUUAAAGGGUGCGUAGGUGGGUUAUUAAGUCAGUGGUGAAAGUUUGUGGCUCAACCAUAAAAUUGCCAUUGAUACUGGUUGACUUGAGUAUAUUUGAGGUAGGCGGAAUGCGUGGUGUAGCGGUGAAAUGCUUAGAUAUCACGAAGAACUCCGAUUGCGAAGGCAGCUUACUAAACUAUAACUGACACUGAAGCACGAAAGCGUGGGUAUCAAACAGGAUUAGAUACCCGAGUAGUC